CUUUGGUUUGGUAAGCUGUACCAGACAGAGGGUGGGGUGCGGAGUGGGACUCAGACUCUGCCCUGAGACUCAGCCUCCCUCCCUUCAGCCUGAAAGGCCGAGGUGACCCUUGGUACUCAGGGCGCCAAGUUUAGACGGGAGGGCUUGGAUUUGCUGUACUGGAGGUGGCCUGAGGAUAAGAGGCUUUGUAACCUUAGGCAGGGGCACUUAAUCUCGGUGAGCUUGCGGGGUCUUCGUCAGUACCACAGAGAUAACAAUGCUCUUCUUAAAACCUUAAAAGGAUUUUAUAGUCCUGAUUGGUUCCAGGGCCCCUCCAGGGGACCCACGUCCACAAAUGCUCAAGUCCUUGGUAAAAAAAAAAAAAAAAAAAAGUGUUUGCAUAUCACCUACACACAUCUUCCCAUCAUAAACUUUAGGUCAUCUCCACAUUCCCUAAGUCCUCACCUAACAUCGUGGAGGGGUUCUUGGAAACUGAAACUUUAAGCCAAAUGACUGUAAGGAAAACAGUUUGACCACAGGCUAAUUGAUAUGAGUGAAGUUCCUACAACAUAUCUGUGGUCACAAAAUCGCCCCUAAACUUCGAAAUAAAGACCAAAACACUUCUAAUAUUAAACAUUGAAAUAAGUGUGAGCCAUGCAUAUAUUUAAGGAAGAUUUUUAGCUCACGCCUAUAAUCCCAACACUUUGGGAGGCUGAGGUGGGCAGAUCACGUGAGGCCAGAAGUUCAAGACCAGCUUGGCCAACAUGGCGAAACCCCAUCUCUACUAAAAAUACAGAAAAUUGGCUGGGUGUGGUGGCGCGUGCCUGUAUUCUCAGCUACUCGGGAGGCUGAGGCAGGAGAAUCGCUUGAACCCAGGAGCCAGAGGUUGCAGUGAGCCGAGAUCAUGUCACUGUACUCUAGCCUGGGCGACAGAGCACAGCUCUGUCUCAAAGAAAAAGUUUUUUUUAAACACCCCCUAUCCCUCUCGCUUAGAGAAAAAUAAAGAUUAAUAAAAGUGAGAUCAUUUUUACCGGCUUAUUCCAACUCAGGGCACCUCACAGGGUGUGCUCACACACACCCACACUCACACUCGGAUCGUGUAGAUGCACCAAUUUACCUAAAGUGCACUGCACGGCUUUGGGAUGUGACAGGACACCAGAAGACAGAGAAAAUCCACACAGACAUGGAUAAAACGUGACAGUGGACCCAGCCAGAAAUCUAUUUUUUUCUCAUCAUUAUAAGAAAACCACUGAGCAAAAUGAUGAAAUGAUGUUAUUCCAGGACCUGCUGUACUUAUAAUACCUAAUACAAUGUAAAUGCUAUGUAAAUAGAUAUUACACUGUACUUUUUUAUUUCUAUGAUUUUUUAUUAUUUUUUGUUAUUGUAAUUUUUUCAAAUACUUUCAGUCCCAGGUUGAUUGAGGAUACAGAGGGCUGACCAUAAGUUCCAAGUAAAGUGGAUAUCAGAUUGUAAUUUUAUGAUUCCCAAGUGAGGGUCAGAUUGUUAACUUUAUAUUUUUACAACCUUAUACCCUUAUAAUUCCCAGAUAAGGUGGGAAUAAAACUAGUCCAAGUUACAGAGAUUGGUUUUCCAUUAGCCGAGCACCAUACUGGGACAGUGCUGGAAGGACCCUUCAUACAAUCCUAACAAAAGUAGGGAAUUGAGAGCUAUUGUCUUGACCUUCAACCUUUGGAAACUGGGGUCCAGAGAGGCCCAUCUGUUUACUGGCAGAGCUGGGAGAUUGAGGCUGCAAUGAGCUGUGAGCGUGUCACUGCACUCCAACCUGGGCAACAGAGUGAGACCCUGUCUCAAAAAAAAAAAAAAAAAAAAAAAAAGGCUUCCUGAAGAAAGUGAAAGAGGUGGCAGCUGGAGGCAAGACCUUAGCAGUUGAGCUAAGGGAAGGUCAGCUAAGGGAAGGAAAUGAGCUAAGGGAAGGUCAGUGUUGGAAAAGUGGGAAUGUUGGAAAUGAAGGAACAACAUGAGCAAAAGUCUGGAGUAGAAGAGAGCAUGAUGAAUUUGAGAUACUGAGAGCUGUUCAGUCGAGUGGGGAGGGCAGGGGAAAAUGAGUAGCAAUGGCAAGUAAGAAGAGCUGGGCAGGGCCACGUUGUGGCAGGUCACGAAACCAUUGCAUUGCAUUUUUUUUUUUUUUUUGAGAUGGAAUCUAGCUUUAUUGCCCAGGCUGGAGUGCAGUGGCGCAAUCUUGUCUCACUGCAGCCUCCACUCCCAGGUUCAAGCAAUUCUCCUGCCUCAGCCUCCCAAGUAGCAGGGAUUACAGCCAACCACCAUGCCUGGCUAAUUUUGUGUUUUUGGCAGAGACAGGGUUUCGCCAUCUUGGCCAAGCUGCUCUCAAAUUCCUGACCUCAGGUGAUUUGCCCUCCUCGGCCUCCUCCCAAAGUGUUGGGAUUACAGGAGUGAGCCUCUGCGCCCAGCCCAUUGCAUUGCAUUUUGAAAGCAGUGGAAAACAACUGAAGGAUUUAGAAUUAGGAGAGUGGCAAUCUCAGAUGUGUGUUGUAGAAGGAUCACAGCAGCGACAGCGUAGACAAUAGAAAGUGAAGGCAGCAGACAAAUCCGAAGACUGUUUCAGUAACAGGAGAAGAAACGAGAAGUUCCUGAGUAUAUCCUUGACCAAUGGAUUGGUGAAAAGUGGAUGGAUUCAUGAGAUAAGUAAGAGGAACCAUUGGUAGCCUUUAGGAUUUGAUUGAUUUAGAGGGUAUAUGGAAGGAAGUUGUCAAGGAUGAAGCCCCACUUUCUGGCUUGAAGUAUAGGUGGUGCUAUUCCUAGAGGAAGACCAGAGGAGAGAAGCAACAGGCUUAGCCCUAUCAAGAUUGGCAUGCCUAUGGGAUAUCAGAGUGGAGAUGUGGAGUAGGAUGUUGGAUCCAUGGAUGUAUAGCUCAGGAGAAAGUUCAAAAAUGGAGAUACAGAUUUGAUAACCAUGGUUAUGGGUAAGAUCACCGAGAGAGUGUAUAGAAGACAGGAGGACCUACAAUAGCACCAAAAAACACAAACAAGAAAGAAGCAGAGGAAGACAAUGCCACAAAAGAGACUACGGAGGGAAAAACAGUAGGAGAAAAAAUUAGAAAGUGGGCCGGGUGCGAUGGCUCACACCUGUAAUCCCAACACUUUGGGAGGCCAAGGUGGGGAGAUCACCUGAGGUCGGGAGUUCGAGACCAGCCUGACCAACAUGUGAAGGGGGCCUGCCCCUCCACACCUGUGGGUAUUUCUCGUCAGGUGGAGACGAGAGACUGAGAAAAGAAAUAAGACACAGAGACAAAGUACAGAGAAAGGACAGUGGGCCCAGGAGACCGGUGCUCAACAUGUGAGGACCUGCACCGGUGCUAGUCUCUGAGUUCCCUCAGUAUUUAUUGAUCACUAUUUUUACUAUCUUGGUGAGGGGAGUGUGGCAGGGCAACAGGGUGAUGUGGAGAAGGUCAGAGGGGAAACAUGUGAGCAAAGGAAUCUGUAUCAUGAAUAAGUCCAAGGAAAAGUACUGUGCCUGGAUGUGCAUGUAGGCUAGAUGUAUGUUUCCCUUUACACAAACAUCUCAGUGUAGCAAAGAGUAACAGAGCAGUAUUGCUGCCAGCAUAUCUUGCCUCCAGCCACAGGGUGGUUUUCUCCUAUCUCAUGAUCAGCUUUACCCUGAGACAUUUCAUUCCCAGGGACGUGCAGGAGACAGAAAACUUCCCCUUAUCUCAACCGCAAAGAGGCCUCCCUCUUUCACUACUCCUCAGCACAGACCCUUCAUGGGUGUCGGGCUGGGGGAUGUAAGGUCUUUCCUUUCCCAUGAGGCCAUAUCUCAGGCUGUCUCAGUGGGGGAAACCUUGGACAAUACCCAAGCUUUCUUGGGCAGAGGUCCCUGCGCCUUUCCGCAGUGCAUUGUGUCCCUGGUUAAUAGAGAAUGGAGAAUGGCGAUGACUUUUACCAGGCAUACUGCCUGCAAACACAUUGUUAACAAGGCACAGCCUGCACAGCCCUAAAUCCAUUAAACCUUGAUUUGAUACAGCACGUUUCUGCGAGCACAUGGUUGGGGCUAAAGUUACAGAUUAACAGCAUCUCAAAGCAGAACAAUAUUUCUUAGUACAGAUCAAAAUGGAAUUUCUUAUGUCUUCCUUUUCUGCAUAGACACAGUAACAAUCUGAUCUCUCUUUCUUUUCCCCACAUUCUCCCUUUUGUUUUUGACAAAACUGCCAUCGUCAUCAUGGCCCGUUCUUGAUGGUCGCUGUCUCUUCGGAGCUGCUGGGUACACCUGCAGACUAACAACAGACAGAACAGGCACACAAGGAUUAAUAUGAAAUUUAUAAUAAUGGAACUUCUGAUGGUUUUAACCCAAGUGACUGGGUUAAGAUUUGCGAGGCCAUCAGUAGCUUCCGUAAUUGCUUCAGUUCCUGGCACCAAAUUUAAAUGGGCUUUUGAUGCCUCAAAAAUUUGUUCUUUUAAUUUUGAAAUGUCUGAAGUAAGAUUAUCUUCUCUUCCUUGUAGAUGGCAUCUAACCAUGUCCCAGUGAGGCUCAGACUCAUUACAGGCUUGGGGUGUAAUACAAAAAUCUGACGUAUUCCAGUCACACUGUAACUGAAAAUGAUGUUCCAAGCUCACGAGCUUAUCUCCCAUCCAAAUGACAUUUUGUCUAAGAUCAUUAAUCUAAUUUGCCAAUUUUUGAUCAAUACCAGAUUGUGAAUUCCACAAUCUUGUAGAAUUUUUUUUGCCAAUUGUUAACAAAGUGUACCGUCUGAACAGAAGAGUGCAAUGCAACUCCUGCCACAGCGGCCAUAACUGUGACUGCACUUAAUCCCGUAGUCACCGCAAUCAAAGUAAAAAUGAAUCUUUUGGAUCUAUUUAGAACUCCUUUUAAUACUUCAGUUAAAAUAUGGAUGGAUGGCGAAGCCUCCUACAGUUGGUCCAUGGACACAGGGAUCCACAUGGCCUCUCUUGCUCUCACUGGUAGAAUACAGUGCUGCCAAUUAAAAGUUGAAUCAAUGCAAGUAAACAAUCUACAAUUUUCACAGGUUAUAGUUUGGGAAUCUGGGUUAAUAACUAUUUUUCCUACAACUAGCAUAUAAGGGGGCUUUACACAAAUUUGCAAAGGAAUUGUCAGACUGGAAUUUAGGUCGAUAGUAUAAGAUGGCUUACCAUCUCUUGUUUUUAUAGCUUAAUUUCCAGACCAAAUUCUAAUGUGGUGCGAGGCCACAGUAAGCUUCCAAAGUUCCGGACGCUUAGGACCAGUAACAGGACUAACUAACUUUGGUCGAGGUGAUGAGAUUCCCUUUUCACCCCAUUCCCAAGGGUAUAGAGACUCUAACCUUUUAUACUUAUUUUUAUCUAAACCUUCUGUUAAGUCACUGUCCACAGUUGGACUCACAUGUGCACUGGGACACGAUUGAGUUUGUCCUGUGCAAUUGCAGUAGAAUUGACCUCGAGGUGCCCAAUCUAUAAUGGUUCCGAAUUCAUUGUUUUGUAAUAUCACCGUCCUAUCAGCCACACAUUCUUCUCAAACUAAAACUUCUGGGCCUUUUGAUCCUUUGGGAAUUUCUUUGGGGCAAGGCUUCCCCUUAGGCCUAGAUUUUAAUCAUCUUUGAUAAGAAGGGUCCUGCAAAUAAUUUACCUGUGGCCUGAGUGACAUUCCACUUACCCUGUGAUAAGUAAAUCCACUGGUGGCACUGACAGUAGGUACUUCUACCAACCAAUUUUGGGUUGUAGGCAUUAAGCAUCCUGGUGCCCUCCCCAGGCAAAUAGGAGGAUAACAAUACCCAGUGGAAAUAAUCAUCAUCAUUCCUUCUUCCUUGGGUUGGGCAGGGCAACGAUCAUCCGUGGGGCCAGGUACCCAUGCACUAUUAUUAACAUAUACUUCAAUAGAAUUAUCCACCCAUGUAACUGCCCGAAUUAAGGGCAGGAAAGGCACAUAGGCCCAGUAAGCAUAAUUAGCUGCAGCUGCUCCUGCAGACAUGGGAAGACUUAUCACCGUUGAUACAAUCAUCAAAGCUGCAAGCAGCAUAUUCUCUGGAGUUUGUGUCACCUUUGUGAAUGUACUUAAUGCCACUGAACUGUAUAUUUAAAAAUGGUUAAGAUGGUAAAUUUUAUGUGCAUUUUACCACCAUCUUAAAAGUCAAGAAGGAGGUGAAGAAACAGCUCAAAUUGGUGAUCUAAGUUUGCUAGAGUCAAUUACUAUCAUUUACAACAAAGCACUCUGUUGUGUACAGUGGUUAAAGUGAAUGCAGGUGAAGGUCACUGGCCAUGAGCAAGUCAAGAAAAUAAAGGGCUGGAUGUUGAGAAGGUCAUCCAUCGAAAUAUCCAUCAAAUAGGGAUUUUCUAGAUAUUUUCAAGGUGGUGGUAGUAUAUAGGGGUGGAGAGUAUAGGAUGAUAAGGAGACUGAUUCUGAGGUGUGGGCUCACCUUCACUGAAUGAGGCCAAUUGGUAAGAAGGUCAAUGGAUGAUAGGAGUCAGGUGACACAAAGAUUUGCAUUCCAGGCUGGGCACAGUGGCUCAUGCCUGUAAUCCCAGCACUUUGGGAGGCUGAGGAGGGCGAAUCACCUGAGGUCAGAAGUUAGAAACCAGCCUGACCAACAUGGUGGAACACCGUCUCUACUAACAAUUCAAAAAUUAGCUGGGCAUCGUGGCAUCUGCCUGUAAUCCCAGCUACUGGGGAGACUGAGGCAGGAGAUUCACUUGAACCUGGGAGACAGAGGUUGCAGUGAGUCGAGAUUGCGCCAUUGCACUCCAGCCUGGACAACAAGAGCGAAACUCCAUCUAAAAAAAAAAAAAAAAAAUUGCAUUCCAAAUAGCCACCAUGCAAUAGUUCAUUCAUUCAUGAGGGCAGAGAAGGAAUGGUCUCCAGCCACAGCAUGGAUCCAUGAAGCACUGACUCCACCUCUCGAACUUGAGGUGUUGGAUUGUGGGAGAAUGAAUAGCCUUCCUUUAAGAGAUCCCCAGGAGAAACAUCCUUAAGGAAGAGCUAAGUGUUAGUUUAAAAAAGAAAUGAAUUGGCCGGGCGCGGUGGCUCACGCCUGUAACCCCAGUACUUUGGGAGGCCGAGGUGGGCGGAUCACAAGGUCAGACUGAGAUCAUCCUGGCCAACGUGGUGAAACCUCGUCUCUACUAAAAAUACAAAAAUUAGCUGGGCGUGGUGGCACGAGCCUGUAAUCCCAGCUACUCGGGAGGCUGAGGCAGGAGAAUUGCUUGAACCAGGGAGUUGGAGGUUGCAGUCAGCCAAGAUCACACCACUGAAUUCCAGCCUGGCGACAGCGAAACUCCAUCUCAAAAAAAAAAAAAAAAAGAAUGGAGGGAACUGCUUCCAUUAAAAUAUAGGGAAUGUAGAGGAGUUCAACAUGGAACUUAAAGUGACCCAGAGCACGCAGACAGAAGAUGUGGGAAGAACAGCAGCAGUGAGAAGGUGGGUCAGGAGGGAGACUAACCAGGAAGGAUGGUCAGAGGAGCAGCAACCCGGGGUAACAGCUUGAAGCCUGGUGGUUUAUGUGGCUCCCAAAAUGCCAAAGAGACAGACCCAGCAAAUACUGGAAGGCUACAAAUGUAGACAGGACACUUGGAUAAAACAAGGGUCAACACAGUUUGCACUUCUAUGGGAGUUUGUUCCAUGAAAGGGCUGUAUUUACACAGCAACCCCCAAAUGCAGAAGGAGCCUGGAAACCAAAGGAGGCAGAGAAAUCCAAUGUGUGGUUCUGGGUGAUUUAUUAGGGAAAUUUACAAACAGAAACGUGGUCUUGGGCGGCUACAAGAUAGGUAGAUCUCUGCACCACAACCCCCUAGACCCAGGGCUUAUAUCUUGGGGAAAAAUAUACGUGUUCUAGAAGGAAUGUGUAGGUGGCUACCAGCGUCACAGCCUAUGAUUUCUGCAACAGCAACGAGGGUUGUUUUGAAGGAAACUUACAGUAAAUGGGUGUUUCUACAUAAAUAAUAAUACAUCAACUCAACAUUUUGGAGGCAUUCCCAGACUUGGGAUUAGUCAGUGGAUUGGUAUUUAAAGUAAAUUCACUCUUGUCCCCACCAAGAGUUUUCCUCUUCAAUGAAUGAGGAGGCUUUGUGUAGAAAGCAAAAGUUCCUCUUCAAAUCCCUUUAAAUCAUAAAUGUUAUUGAUAUCUUUUCUCAAAACUAACUUUAAGUUUCUUAUUUUAUAGUAAUAACUCUCUGUUAAGCCUUAUGUAGCAAAGGUAACAGAAUAAGCAUACUCUGACUUCAGUAUCUGUUAAACAUGCUCACAGGCAUGUAGUACAUUCUAUGUCCUUGUACCUUAGUCAGAAUAUUCGUGCUGGACAUGCCCAGGCAUGUCCCAGCUUGCAGCCUACCCUCCUCCCUUAUUUGGGAAUAUUAUUACUUUUCUAAGUCCUUUCAUAAGCAACUUCCUUUUUUUCCUUUGUUCCUCACUGCCUUUACCUAUUUUAAAAAGUUUUGAACUGUUAGCCAAUCGGGUUUUAGUUUAGAUUGUGAGGUCUGGCUCCAGCCAAUGGAGUCAGGACACAGCAAUAGGGACCUCAUGUGUAAGGCAAAACUAUUCUAGUAUCUUUUUUACUUUGUGGGUACUCCUGGCAGGAUUGCUGACAGGCACCACCCUUUCUGCAAAGAGUAAAAAGAGUUUCCUGUUGAGGAAACAUUUUGUCUAAUUGCGGAUUCUUCUCUGUAACAUCGGGGAAUAAGCAUUUACUUCCAACACUUUGGUCUUCCAGGAAGGACUACCUGAGCCAUGAGUGGUUUGCUGGGCUUGGGGAGAAGCUCUGGUUUGAUGCAGCUUUUUCCAAAGCUCCCAGGGAGUGCAGUCUGGGCCUGAUCUGUGAUUGUUUAGGCUGGAAAGCAUGGCCCUGGAAGGUGCAAGCCUGGUCGAUAGGAGUAUGGGUAGCAUACGCACCAACAAUGCUCUGCAAAAUCUGUCUUAUUAUUAAUAUCAACCAGCGUAUGGCACUGCAGGUGAGGCAUGCAUGGAGACAUUUUGUAUCCGGAAUUGGUUCCUUCCAGUGGGUUCUUGGUCUCACUGACUUCAAGAAUGAAGCUGUGGACCCUCGCGGUGAGUGUUAAAGUUCUUAAAGAUGGUGUGUCCGGAGUUUGUUCCUUCAGAUGUUCAGAUGUGUCCAGAAUUUCUUCCUUCUGGUGGGUUCGUGGUCUCGCUGAUUUCAGGAGUGAAGCCACAGACCUUCGCAGUGAGUGUUACAGUUCAUAAAGGCGGCGCGUCCGGAGUUGUUCAUUCCUCCCGGUGGGUUCAUGGUCUCGCUGGCUUCAGGAGUGAAGCUGCAGAUCUUCGUGGUGAGUGUUACACCUCAUAAAGGCAGCGCAUCCAGAGUUGUUCAUUCCUCCCGGUGAGUUUGUGGUCUCAUUGGCUUCACGAGUGAAGCUGCAGACCUUCGUGGUGAGUGUUACAGCUGAUAAAGGCAGUGCGGACCCAAAGAGUGAGCAGCAGCAAGAUUUAUUGUGAAGAGCAAAAGAACAAAGCUUCCACUGUGUGGAGGGGACCCAAGUGGGUUGCUGCUGGUGGUGCAGGUGGCCUGCUUUUAUUCCCUUAUUUGGCCCCACCUGCAUCCUACUGAGUGAUCCAUUUUGCAGAGAGCUGAUUGGUCCAUUUUACAGAGUGCUGAUUGGUCCAUUUUUAUAGAGUGCUGAUUGGUGCAUUUACAAACCUUUAGCUAGACACAGAGCACUGACUGGUGCAUUUACAAUCCUUUAGCUAGACAGAAAAGUUCUCCAAGUCCCCACCCAACCCAGAAGCCCAGCUGGCUUCACCUCUCAAUUUCCCCUCUAAACAGGACACCCCAACUGCUGUUUGGAAUUUGGCCAAUGACUGCUCUAGCUACUUCCUGCUGGAUAGGGGUGAAGCAGGGGCCCUGCAGUUGUGGUGUCCUCCAGAGGGAAACUCUUUAGGCCAGUGGAAGGGCCAGCGGGUCGGUCCAGGGGUCCUCAGUAGAAGUUGUUAGUUGAACUCAUUCGGAGUUCCAUUUGUAAGACCAUCUGUAGCUUGAUUGCCUUGAUUUUAGAGGAAACAAAUUUGACAAGAAGGUUAAAAAUACAGGGCCCAAAGGCGAGUAACAGCAAGAUGGCUGCCACGGGACCUAGAAAGGGGAGAAGCCAUGUUGCCCAACUCCGGAGGUUGGUAUAAGAGUUUGAAAGGCGUUGUCUGAUUUCAGAAGCCUUUUCCUGUAAAUGCCGGGCGGCAUUUAGUACUAUCCCUGACUGGUUAGGGUAAAAACAACACUCUUCCCCUAAGAAGGUGCAGACUCCUCCUUUCUCAGCCGUGAGGAGGUCUAGGCCUCAGCGCUUUUGGAGAGUCACUGCUGCCAAAGAGUCUAUUUGGGAUUGUAGAGUAAGGAUAGAUUUCGUGAUUUCUUGCAAACUGUCUGAGAAAUCCUUUGAGAAUGUGUGGUAGUAGGAUAAUGAAGUAGAUAAACUGGCUAUUCCAGUUCCUGUAGCAGUAGCCAUUCCUGACCCUAUAAGUAGGGGUAUUAGUUGUAUGGCUUUGCGCUGACGGACUUGAGCUUUGAGGGGUACUGAUAAGGUCUGACUUCCCGGGGCAAUAUUAAUGUUGGGACUUAGAAAGACUAAGGUGCAGGUGCCUGUCCAGUUAGUGGGGAGGCAGAUAUAGGUCGACAUUCCACAUAAGAAGAGUAUACCUUAGCUGGGUAGACAGAACUGGUUGUGUAUGUUAAAAAGAUGUGUGAAUUUGUUGUUUUCAUUUUCCCAUACUCCUAGAGUACUUGCCAAGGUAGCUCCAGUGAGCGGCUGGAAAGGGGUGUUGGGAGCAAACUGAGUGGCUCCCUGUGUUCUAUUUUCCCAUUGGAGAAAAAAACAUUUUAUAUCUACUAGGAACCACUCGAGAGAGUGAUUGAAAGAGGGGAUGAGAAGGCAUUCACUAGUGGUGGGGGCGCUGCUGCAGGGGGUGCAGGGGUGAAUGGUCAUGCAGGGAGUAUGUUUGCCAUUACAAACCCUGGACUAUUUGUUAAGCAGGGAGGAGGUGAUGAUUUUUGGGGGCCCCAAGAAGCAGACAAGCCAUCUAAAUGGAGCUGUUUGGGUGACUCAGAAGUUACUAUGAUCAGUUGGGGCUUGAAGUUGUAGCGUGUAAUUACACUGAUGGGGUAGUAAGUGCCCCAGGGGCAGGCCUGAUAACAGGUUGCGUUGGAUGCAUAAAGGGGCUUGGAAAGUUAAGAUAGUAUUUGUAGUUACAGGGCCGUGUAUGGGCUUUUCAUUGCUUGUGUAAUAGGUGAGGUUGGAAAUGUAAGAACGUAAAAGUUGGAUUGCACAUCCUGUUAGGGUAUUCUUGUUCCUAUCAGAGAUGGGGAAGUUGGCUAAUGAUUGCAUAUUUAAAAGUCAGAAAGGGUCUUUUCCUUCAUAACGAGGGUGGUAGGUUAAUUUGGUAAAGACCCAGUUUUUUGCAGGAAUGGGAGUGGCAGUGUAAGCAGAGGUUGAUAGAGAGAUACAAAGCCAACAGUCAUUUGCCAGGGAAGGAUUGGACUGGUUUAACAGAGAGUAGGUUAAGUUGAGAGACUUGUAGAGGUAAUUAGGAGCUAGUGGAAGGGGAGGGGCAAUUGUAUGAGGUAUCCAAGGAAGCAGGAGGGAUAGAUAGGCAAAGAGUAAAUAGGAAGGUAAAGAGGGUGCUCUGGAAGACGAGACCAUUUUAUCCAGUCUGAGUUAAAGGCAGGAGUAAAUUGCUGUCAGAAGGAAGGAAGAUAGAAGGUUGAUGUGAUUAGGAUUUUUCUCCCAGCAGGAGCUACAGUAUACAGUCCUAUCGCAAAGAGUAUGGUUAGUAUGCUGCUUAAUAAUAUGAUGAAAUAGUAAAAGGAUUCCAUUAAAGGGGCAAGGAGAGGUGUUAAAGAUUAUGUAGGUUUUCACUUAUCUUUUUUAAGGAGAAAGGGAUUUUUCUUCAGGAUCAGCGGUAGGAGCCUUUUUAGUCUGGGAUGUUUCCUUCCGAAAUAGGAGAUGCAAGUCCUCCAAUGGUUCGCAGGUGUAUCGAGGCUGGUCUGGCUUGAGACUCCUGAGCUGACAGUCCUGCAGGUUCCUCAGGGGAUGUCCAAAAUGUAACUCGGGUGUGGUGAAUCCAAGAUUCCACUCCUGCCACCUUAACUGCAGUGGGGUUAGAGAGGAUUACCGAGUAUGGUCCUUCCCACAAAGAGUUCAUAGAUGGGGAGGUAGAGGGGUGAGAUUUGACCAACACUAGAUCUCCUAGUUGAAACAACUCUGUUCCCUUUUCUCUGUGACAUCCUUCAGGUAGGUUUUUAAGGUUUUGUUGAUAUUUUGCCAAAUAAGUUGUAUCUUUGACCAAGUUGGCCAUUUCCUGAUCAAGUAGGAGGUCAUUUGUGAGAAAAGGUCGUCCCUACAGCAUUUCAUGUGGAUUAAGCCCCAUUUUGUGAGGAGAAUUUUGGAUUCUCAACAAGGCCAUGGGCAAAAGAGUAGGCCAUGGGAGAUGAGUUUCUUGUAUUAGUUUCCUUAAGUGCCUCUUGAGUGUUUCAUUUGCCUUCUUGACCUUCCCUGAGGAUUGUGGCCUCCAGGUGCAGUGAAGAUGCUGUUGUAUCACUAGUGCCCUGGAAACUCCCUGAGUUAUCAUGUCUUUAAAAGUCAGACCAUUGUCACUCUGUAAGCUUUGGGGAAGCCCAAAUCUAGGAAUUAUUUCAUGAAUUAGAACUUUAAUCACUUCCUGAGCCUUCUCUGUCUUGCGGGGGAAAGCUUCUAUCCAAUUUGUAAAGAUAUCAACACAGACCAACAAGUAUUGAAAUCCCUUUGACUUAGGCAUAUGGGUGAAGUCUAACUGUCAGUCCUCUCCGGGAUAGUGACCUAUUCUUUGUGCCCCCACAGGGGCCUUAUGAUGGACCAAGAGAUUAUUCCUUUGGCAUACCUCACAGGCUUUGACUACCUGUCACAUGGUCUGGAGGAGAUUUGGCCCUGUAAAUAGGGAUUUGGCCAUUUGAUGAGUGUUUUCAAUACCCAUAUGAACAGUUUGGUGGAGAGUUUUAAGUAUUUUCCACUGGCUUGCUUUGGGAAUAAGUACCUUUCCUUCUUCUGUCGUUAACCACCCUGAGGGGAGAAAACUAUGUCCCCGUGAAAGUCCCCAUUCUGUUUCAAUCGGGGAAUACUGGGGCUUAAUCUCCUGGAGGGGGUUGUUCCAUACCAAGGGUCCUUCCAUAGGUAUUUCUAAUGGGAGAUUCCACCUGGCAGCAAUUUUGGCCUCAGUAUCUGCCCAGUGGUUUCCUUCUGCCUUUUCUCCUUCACCUUUCUGAUGGCUUUGGCAGUGUAAGACUGCCACCUCCUUGGGUUUUUGCACUGUGUGCAAUAACUCCAUAAUUUCCAUGUGGUAUUUAAUGCGGGUCCCCCAGAGGUUAGAAGCUCCCUUUCUUCCCAUAUUGCAGCAUGGGCAUGUAGGAUUAGAUAAGCAUACUUGCUAUCUGUAUACACAUUUAUUCUUUUUCCCUUUCCCAGUUCUAAGGCUCGGGUAAGUGCCACUAGUUCUGCUAAAUGGGCGCUGGUCCCUGAGGGAAGAGGCUUACUUUCAAGUACAGCUACAUCACUAACUAUGGCAUAACCUGCCCUUCGUAUCCCGUUCUCCACAAAUGAACUUCCAUGGGUAUAUAGGUUAAGGUCAGGAUUAGCUAAGGGGACCUCUAAGAGACCAUCUUGGGCAGCAUAAGUUGGACUAUAAUUUGUCGGCAGUCAUGCAUGAUUGGUUCCCCAUCCUCUGGGAGAAAAGUGGCAGGGUUCAGGGCCAUGCACGUACGUAUUUGAAGCACCGGUCCCUCAAAGAGUAGUGCCUGGUAUCUAAGUAGGCGGUUGUCUGAUAACCAUAAACUUCCUUUGGCACCUAGUAUGCCAUUUACAUCAUGAGUAGUCCAGACAGUGAGAUCCUUUCCUUGUAUUAUUUUGAUAGCCUCUGACACUAAGACAGCCACCGCUGCAACUACCCUUAAACAGUGAGGCCAGCCUUUUGCUACUACAUCAGUUUCCUUACGUAGGUAUGCCACUGGUUGUGGGGUUGUCCCACGAGUCUGAAUAAGGACUCCAAGAGCUAUCCCUGCUCUCUCUGUGACAUAUAAAGAGAAGUUUUGUCCUGUGGGAAGGCUUAAAGCUGGAGCUUGUACUAGGGCCUUUUAAGGUUUUGAAGGCUGUUUCUCCCCCUGGUUCCCAUUCUACUAGAUGAGUAUUUGCCCUCUGGGUCUCCUUGAUUAGAGUAUAUAGGGGCCUGACUAUCUCACUGUAUCCGGGGAUCCAUAGUUGGCAAAAGCCAGUAAUUCUAAGGAACCCCCACAACUGUUUUAAUGUCUUAGGGUGAGGAUGAGCCAGUAUGGGCUGUAUUCGUUCCUUGCUGAGGUCCCUGGUCCCUCUGGCUAAGAUUAGGCCUAGAUAUUUGACCUGUUGUAGGCAAAGCUGGGCCUUUGACCUAGACACCUUGUACCCUUGAUUAGCUAGAAAGUUCAAGAGAUCUACAGUGGCCUGCUGGCACGAGGCUUCUGAACUGGUAGCCAAAAGUAAAUCAUCCAGAUACUGAAGGAACAGAGUGCCUGGACUUGAGACAUGGCCUAGAUCUUGGGCCAGUGCCUGACCAAACAGAUGAGGGCUAUCCCUAAAACCUUGGGGCAAGACCGUCCACGUAAGUUGGGACAUGUGGUCUGUGGGAUCCUCAAAGGCAAAGAGAAACUGGGAGUCAGAGUGCAGGGGAAUACAGAAGGCAUCCUUGAGGUCCAGAACAGUGAACCAUUCUGCUUCCUCUGGUAUUUGAGAGAGCAGGGUAUAGGGUUUGGGUACAACUGGAUAUAGAUGAAUUACUGCCUCAUUGAUGAGUCUAAGAUCUUGCACUAGUCUCCACUGACCGUUUGGUUUUUGUACUCCUAGAAUUGGGGUGUUGCAGGGACUGCUGCAUUUCCUAAGCCUUGAGCUUUUAAAUGUUUAACAAUAUCCUGUAAUCCUUUAUGAGCUUCAGGCCUUAAGGGAUAUUGCCUUUGAUAAGGAAAAGUGAUGGGGUCUUUUAGCCUGAUUUGGACUGCGCAGGCAUUUUUUGCUCUGAGGGAGGGAAGUGAUCUCUAGAGUUGGAAGAGUGAUGCCUUUUGUCCUCACUUAUAUGAAUAGGAAGGAUACAAUUUCUGAGGCUCCCCAUAUCCUAGCUUCAGGAAUAGCUUUUGUUAGGCCCACUUGUCUGAGGAGGUAUCCUAAAAUUCCAGAUAGUAUCCCCUACGAUGGGGCUUUGGGAAAAAUUAUGUUUUUCUGAUUGGUGAGCCCAGGUGCCGAAAGAAGGUAACAGAGUCCUGGAGUUUGAACUAGAAAUCAUUCUUAUAGGAGAAACUAGAAAAGCACCAGAGACAGGGAGUGGUUUUUAGAAGCGGGACUAGCCUCGGAGAAGAGAGGUGAGAGGGAGUUUGUCUGGCAGGCAUUAGGACCCAGGAGGCAAGGGUCAAGGUAGAUAGAAUAGAUGAGAGAGUCUGGCUUGGGCAACAUGACUUUGAGAGUUCCGCUCAUGGCUGCAGGGUCAACCAACUUGUUCUCAGGACCUCGGAGCUGAAUGGCUUUCCUCUCUGUCAACCCUCAGCUCAGCCCGGAAGUACAGGAAAAGUGGCAAACCAAUGCUCCCAACUCCAAAGAGUGGGGGCUUGUUAGAGAGCCCUUUCCCAGAAAUCCUGACAUCCAUGUCUUUAGUCUGGUGGCCAUGCUAGUUGCUUUUAACUGGCCGACAGGUGCCUGAUAUUUAGCCCUCAAAUGCUAAGGAAAAAUAGGACAGAAUAGCAAGCAAAAGGGGUCCGAUGGUACUCACUGCUUGGCAAUAGUCAAUGGUCCCUUCGUGGUCACCAAAAUGUGUCCAGAAUUGAUUCCUUCCGGUGGGUUCUUGGUCUCGCUGACUUCAAGAAUGAAGCCGUGGACCCUUGCGGUGAGUGUUAAAGUUCUUAAAGAUGGUGUGUCCAGAGUUUGUUCCUUCAGAUGUUCAGAUGUGUCCAGAGUUUCUUCCUCCCGGUGGGUUCGUGGUCUUGCUGACUUCAGGAGUGAAGCUGCAGACCUUCGCAGUGAGUGUUACAGUUCAUAAAGGCGGCGCAUCCGGAGUUGUUCGUUCCUCCCGGUGGGUUCGUGGUCUCGCUGGCUUCAGGAGUGAAGCUGCAGACCUUCGCAGUGAGUGUUACAGUUCAUAAAGGCGGCGCAUCCGGAGUUGUUCGUUCCUCCCGGUGGGUUUGUGGUCUCGCUGGCUUCAGGAGUGAAGCUGCAGACCUUCGUGGUGAGUGUUACAGCUCAUAAAGGCAGUGCGGACCCAAAGAGUGAGCAGCAGCAAGAUUUAUUGUGAAGAGUGAAAGAACAAAGCUUCCACAGCAUGGAAGGGGACCCAAGCGGGUUGCCGCUGCUGGCUCAGGUGGCCUGAUUUUAUUCCCUUAUUUGGCCCCACCACAUCCUGCUGAUUGGUCCAUUUUACAGAGUGCUGAUUGGUGCGUUUACAAACCUUUAGCUAGACACAGAGCACUGAUUAGUGCAUUUACAAUCCUUUAGCUAGACAGAAAAGUUCUCCAAGUCCCCACCCGACCCAGAAGACUAGCCAGAUUCACCUCUCAAUUUGAUACAUAAAUCUUUAACUGCCGUUGAAUUUAUUCUCUUAGAAUAAAUUUCCGGAAGUCUAAUUAAUGGCUCAAAGAGGAUGAAUUUUUAAUGUUACUGAUUCAUAUUGCUAAAUUCAUUUAUAAUAUUCUAUACCAAUGUGUAUUCUGAUUCAUUUGGGAUUAACAGUCUUUCUCCAUCCUUAAUCAUACUGGAUAAAAAUUAAAAAAAACUUGUAUGUCACAAAAUUAGCAUGGUUUUGAGACCAUUCUUUAGGGGUCUCAUGAUUUUGUAUUUCUUCAUGUCUUGUAUUAUUCUCUUACCCCAGACUAUCAAUUCAAGGACAUUUUUAGAGCAUACAGCCUUGGAAGAUAGAAAUAGUAUCUCCCCUUAGGGCAGAAGGCAGAUUUGUUUGCCUCCACAGAAUAAAGAUAAUGUCUCCCUCCAGGGGCAAAGGUUGGGCAGAUUUGCUAGUAGCUUCUUUUAAGUUUGGGGAUUUCUGAGCCCAGGGCUCCUCUGCUGUGGAAUGAACCACUGUGUGUACAACAACCCCCUGGGCUGCUCUGAGACUAGCGGGGUGAGGGGAAGCAAUGGAAAUGUAAAGCUCAUGCUACCGGCUGUGCUGUAAUCAUGUCCUUCCUCUCUUACCCAGGAGUCUUGUGUCUUCUGCCAGUAUUGAUGAAACUGAGGCAGGUUACCUUGUUAGCUUGCAAGCUGGGUAAAAUCUCACAGUUCUUGGCAAUCGUUUCUGAGCUGGGUUUUGAGGACUUAGCGGGUUUCCCUUUGGAUAGUAGGGGAAGGGUAUUGCAGGCAGAGGGAGCAGCUCUUCCUCAUAUAAAGGCAGAGACAGAUUAUGGGGGGCUUUGUGGAGGAUUUUUUUUUUCUUUGAGAUGGAGUCUCGCUUUGUUGCCCAAGCUGGAGUGCACUGGCAUGAUCUUGGCUCACUGCAACCUCCGCCUCCUGGGUUCAAGAGAUUCUUCUGCCUCAGCGUCCCGAGUAGCUGGGAUUACCGGCUUGCCCACUAAACCUGGCUAAUUUUUGUAUUUUUAGUAGAGAUGGGUUUUCACCACUUUGGCCAGGCUGGUCUCGAACUCCUGACCUUAAGUGAUCUGCCUGCCUCUGUCCCCUAAAGUGCUGGAAUUACAGGUGUGAACCACCGCACUCGGCCCUGGAGGAUUUUAUUCUGUGUUUAAAACACAGAAUAAAAGACAGGAAGUGGGGAAGACAGUGGCAGGACAACUAGUUAGGACGCUGUUAUAGUAGUCCAACAAAAAGACUGCAAACUAGAGGAGGAGCUUCUGAGGAAGAAAGGAGUCGUACAUGGGGAAAAAUGACAUUGGCUCUGGACAACUCAGAGAUGUCCUGCAGGAAAAAUCUUGCACUGAAGAGGGGAGUUUGACCCUAGAGAUGGUGUUUUGGGAAACAGAGUAUAUAUAGUAGUGAAUUCAGGUGAAUUCAUAUUAAAGGAGAAUGGAGUGGAGAUGAUUUGGUAUCACAGACCUGAAGCCUCUGGAGGCUUCUAGAGGAUGGGUAGAUAAUACAGUAUUAACUAGGGAAGUGGACCAGGUAUAAAACUUCCCCCAAAGCAGCUAUACGUUCUAGAGAUCUUUGUGACGUAUGUUUAUUUUAUCUUAAAAGGAGAGAUUUCUUAUUUUCUACCUAAAGCAUCUGUAUUUCAAGUGUACCACGGUUGCUUUAAAUUUGUUGACGAAGUCCAUAAUGAAGGAUAAAGGAACCAUUUCCCCCAAAGGUCAAAGCAAGUGUCCACCUUUUAGGGUGACUUUCACCUUUAGAUCCCCUCCUUAGAUCUCAUAGCAUUGGCCUCACCAGAAUCCAGGUCCACACAGACCACAUCUUUUUUUUUUUUUUUUUUUUUUUUUUUUAAGAGGUGGAAAUUUGGAUUUUAUGCUUAAGCCUUUCUAAAAUUGUAAAAGCCGAGGGCCGGGUGUGGUGGCUCACGCCUGUAAUCCCAGCACUUUGGGAGGCUGAGGUGGGUGGAUCACUUGAGCCCAGGAGUUUGAGACCAGCCUGGGCAACAUGGUGAAACCCUGUCUCUACUAAAAAUACAAAAAUUAGCCAGGUGUGAUGGCACGUGCCUGUAGUCCCAGCUACUUGGGAGGCUGAGGCAAGAGAAUUGCUCAAGCCCGGAACGUGGAGGUUGCAGUGAGCUGAUAUCACGCCACUGCACUCUAGCCUGGGCAACAGUGCGAGACUGUCUCCAAAUAGAUAAAUAAAUAAAUAAAAUUGCACAAGCCAGAUUGAGCCCCUGGGCCAGCAGUUUGCAGCCUCUGACUUAACUGUGGUUUAGUAGCAGGAAUCUGCUUACCCUGUGGUCUUGAUGGUUCCAUGAGAACUAUGUGGAGAGGCAUACAUUGCUAUGUAAACAGGAGGGCAAAUUGGGGGCUUAUAUUUGCCCGUUAGAACAGAUGAUUUGAUCACCAUCCAAGCCCUGUUGUUUUAUAUUGAGCUUGAUAAACAUGGUUUUGGAACCAAUGAGGUGGAACUGCCUGCUUGUCUUUCUUUCCUAUUGUACGAUGCAUGUGAAUAAGCCAUUGUCAGGAAAAUAAGACUCUUGUUUUUCACAGAUACAUAAGGUGGACUUUGAUCCACAGAUGUGUACCAAAAUUGUAAAGUGGGCAAGUGUGUUUUUUGGCACCCCAAAUCGAGGCAUUCUGGGCCUUUUCCUUCCACCUUAUUUGACUUCAACCCCACAUCUACAUGCUAGGGUGCUCUAUGAUCUCAUCACAUCAAAAGGCGGGAAGUAACAACAGCAGCAAGUAAGUUGCUUUAAAAAAAUUCACAGCGCCCUCAGAAAUCCAAUAUGAUCAAAAGCAGUUAUCAGGACAGGCAGUGGUCUACAUGGAAUUUUGAGGAGGGUCUGAUAAUCACACCUUCCUGUGCCCAUGUAGAUGCUUAGCCUAAAAGGUUACUGGAAGUCUGCAGAGUAAAUGUCUCUGGAAUUCUAUCAGCCAUGAGAUGGGAAAGGCGCAGAGAGUCUUUCCAAAAUGCCACCUCCCAUGACUUACCUAAUAAGAGCUCUAGAGAAAGUUGAUACCACCAGAUUUCUGAGUGUGCUGUGAAUCUUUUUAAAGCAACUUAUUUGCUGUUGUUGUGACUUCCCUCCUUUGUGUAUCUGGUUUGAAUAUUUUUCACAUGCUUUGAGCUCAGACGAAUUUUUAACUCUAUUCAAUGAUUAAAAUGUAUGGAACACUACAAGUUGCCCAGCACUGUGAGGGGCUGGUAAAGCCAUUUCUACCUCAACUGGUCAGACAAUGGUUGCACAUGCUAAAUUUUAGAAUAUAUUUUUCUUUUUUUUUAAGAUGGAGUCUUGCUCUUGUCACCCAGGCUGGAGUGCAAUGGCAAGAUUUCGGCUCACUGCAACCUCCCCCUCCUGGGUUCAAGCGAUUCUCCUGCCUCAGCCUCCCAAGUAGCUGGGAUUACAGGCGCCCACCACCAUGCCCAGCUAAUUUUUGUAUUGUUAGUAGAAACAGGGUUUCACCAUGUUGGCCAGGCUGGUCUCGAACUCCUGACCUCAGGUUAUCCACCCGCCUCGCCUCCCAAAGUGUUGGGAUUACAGGCGUGAGCCACCAUGCCUGGCCUAGAAUAUUCUUUCAAAAAGGAAUUUUUGAUCUUCUGUUAAAGAGCUUUCAAAUAUGCUAUACACCAGACAUUCCAAAUUUUAUUAAUUUACAGUUAUAUAGGUUGUGCAAUCAUAUUUUGCAUUAACCUUUUUAAUACAGCAAAAUUUCCACAGUAUCUCUCUAUAUAAAUAUAUAUAAGCGCAUAUAUAUAUGAUUUUGUUAAACAGAAAACAUUGAAAAAAAGGGUAGGUAUGAUAGCUCAUGCCUGUAAUCCCUGCAGUUUGGGAAGCCAAGGCAGGAGGAUCACUUGAGGCCAGGAACUCAAGACCAGCCUUGGUGAGUCCAUGUCUCUUUAAAAAAAACACCAACAAGGCCAGGCACGUGGCUUAUGCCUCUAAUCCCAGCACUUUGGGAGGCCGAGGCGGGAGGAUCACCUGGGGUCAGGAGUUCGAGACCAGCCUGGCCAACAUGGUGAAACCCUGUCUCUACUAAUAGUACAAAAAUUAGCUGGGCAUGGUGGCAUGCACCUGUAAUCCCAGCUACUUGGGAGGCUGAGGUAGGAGAAUCGCUUGAACCCCAGGAGACAGAGGUUGCAGUGAGCUGAGAUCAUGCCACUGCACUCCAGUCUGGGCCGAUAGAGUGAGACCCUGUCUCAAAAAAAAAAAAAAAAAAAGAAUUGAGUGUAGUUAUCACAAUCCAGAUAGAGAAAGUUAUACAGCAUUAGAGGAUCUCAGAGUUCUUGAAGUAUUAACAUUUGCUCUUUCAAAUAGAGAUUUUUUAUUGUUUUUACUAAAAAAAACCUUAAUAGACAAAUCUUAUUAAGUAUUCAUGUUCAACAGCUGUAUUUAUAGCUCAUUAUAAGCCUGCUCAUUAAAAUUUUUCUUUAAGGACUGAAUUUAUGUUUACCAUUUACACGGGGCAUGGUUAUUCUCCUGUUAUUUGUUUCUCUAAACUGAACUUGGAGCGAACCCAUCCAUUUUCCACCUCAAGGUGGAACAGGAAGAUAAGGCAGAUCUGAGGGCUCCUCAGUGUGAAGUUGGAAAACUCUUCUCUCUAAAAUACACUAAAAGCCGAAGGCUGUUUCUUCAGUCUGAGGAAAGUCAGGUAAUCCACAUUUUCAUUAUAAUGGGGUAGGGCUUUUUGCUUACAUUUGGAAAGAGUUGCUUUGGAAAGUGUCUGUAAUUAUCAACUAAUAGCAGCAUAUUUUUGUUCCCUGUAAACUUUCUAUUAAAGAAAAUUAAGAACAUGAAGUUACAUGAAAAAACCCUCAAUUUGUACCAAAAACUUCUAUAGUAAUUUUCUUUUUUUUUUGAGACAGAGUCUGUGUUGCCCAGGCCAGAGCGCAAUGACGUGAUCUCAGCUCACUGCAACCUCUGCCUCCCUAGUUCAAGUGAUUCUCGUGCCUCAGCCACCUGAGUAGCUGGGAUUACAGGCAUGCACCACCAUCCAUUUUUAGUGGAGACAGGGUUUCACCAUGUUGGCCAGGCUGGUCUCAAACUCCUGGCCUCAAGUGAUCCACUCACCUUGGCCUCCCAAAGUGCUAGGAUUACAGGUGUGAACCACCAUGCCCGGCUAUAUUAAUUUUUUGAUUCAAUAAUAAAAGUUAAAAGAAUGUCUUCUGUUACUUACUGCAAAUUUUUUCAAAAGGUAAUUUAGCAACUGAUCUAAUUUAGCUUUCGCUCAAGACAACAAAAAUCCUAGACACCAAAUUCACUGUUUCAAAGGUAAUCCAAAGAUGUAGAAAAUGGUCUAUCAUGGGCCGCUGAGACAUAGUUAUAUCAUUGUGACCCUGCACCAUUUUCUCCAUGGUUCACAAGGCAAGAAAAAGUAUUAUAGCUAAAUGUAGUUUGGAAACAUCUUGAUGUUCUAAAAUAAACACAUUAAUUCACACUAUAAAUUACCUUGUACUUUACAAACUUUAUUAAAUAAUGGACGUUACUAACUUUCAUUAUCUUAUAUACAGUAUUUAAACUAUGUUUUUCUAGAUGCAUUUUUUCCCCACAAAGAAUAGAGCAGGUGAAAAGUAAACUUAUAUAAAAAAAAUUGAACCUUCAGUACAGGAAACUAGUAAGAACUUGACAUACUUUAAAGUACAUAUAACUUUUCCUCGUUAUAUACAUCCCCACCCCACCUCUAAAACAAACUGUUUUAAACAAAAGCAAUUGAUAACUUUCAGGAAAAAAAUACAAACAUGAUUAUAUAUAUAUACACACAGCUCUCAAAAUCUGUGUCCUGGCCAACAGAAAUGGUCUAUAAAUCUACACAUUUGUCCUAAAACCUAAAGCCAUGUAGACCUUUUAUACAGUAAGAUACCCACUUACGUGCAGUGAGGUGUAUUCCUAUAGGUGACAUCAAAGUCAUGCAACAAGACACUGGCGUGAAGAAGUAAUUUCUGAGAGUCAGACAGAACAAUAAUAUGAACUACAUAGAACUGGAUAAUACCAAUCAAAAAGCGAAAAUGCGAAACAGCUUUCCUGGGACAAGAGUCAGGUAAUUUUGUUCAUAGGUAAUACAAAUGCACUUACACACACCUCUAAAAACAUACUUUCUUGGCCGGGCGCAGUGGCUCAUGCCUGUAAUCCCAGCACUCUGGGAGGCCGAGGCAGACGGAUCAUGAGAUCAGGAGUUCGAGACCAGCCUGGCCAACAUGAUGAAACCCCGCCUCUACUAACAACACAAAAAUUAGCCAGGUGUGGUGGCGGGCGCCUGUAAUCCCAGCUAUUCAAGAGGCUGAGGCAGGAGAAUCGCUGGAACCGGGGAGGUGGAGGCUGCAGUGAGCCAAGAUUGCACUCCAACUUGGGCAACAGGGAGAGACUCAGUCUCAAGAAAAAAACAAACAAACAAAAAAACCAACCAAACAAAAAAACUUUCUUGUGGUACUUAUCUUUUUUGAUCAUUUCAUCUUGGAAACUCAUAUCAUGUUCAAAUAAACACAAUAAAGAAGGAAUGUUCCCAGACCAUGCUAUUCAAUGUGGACUUUCUUUUAUAAGCUAUGAGAAGAAUACUUUGGAGAAGCAAGAAACUUGGGUUAUUUUUUGUUAUUUAAAAAUAAAAUCACAUGCCUUAGGUACCUAUUUGUAAGAUAAAAACGCUCAUAUUCUAUGUUUUACAGUUAAGAAAAAGAGGCAUAGGACUUAACAAAGAGAAAAAGAAUUAUGUCACUUACUCAAUAUUACUGCUUACCUUUAAAUGAAGAGCCCAGGCCCCUUUCCCUACAUAUAUUAUUGUAUCUUUUAAAAUAGAAACUAACAGCAUGGGGGAGAGGCCAUAGAAUGUACACCUGAUUAAAAUGAGAAUACAAAGGCCACCGCUUGAGAAAGCAUUCUUGCUGCAUUAAUUGCAGUCUUCAAUAAAAUAGAAUAUGUUAUAAAGUUGCAAUAUAUCUGCCUUCAUUUUUCUCUUUAGCUUCUUUGAUUUUGCUUUUUAUUCAAUGUCUUAUUUUUGUUUGUUGCCUUUCAUAAGGAGUUAGAUCAGUAUACAGUAUCACAAUGAAAUGUGACAAAUGGUCAGAAUAUAAAAGGUGUUAUUUAUUAGUCAGCACCUAGUAACCAAAGAUUUCAUUCUUUAAUAUACCUGAAAACAACGAAAAAAAGGCUCCCAUGUUAUGUGUAGUUUAGGAAAUAGAUUCUUGCCCUAUUCCUGCAGCCAAUGACUCCUCAGGGCCAGGAUCAAGUUGGUCAUUUGGCAGAAUCCCAAACUCAGGAGGGUGCAUGUGCAAAGCGCUCUGGAAAGGAUAAAUUUAAAGUGCUUUGUCUGAUUUUAGCUCAUGCUUAACUUUGUAUCGAUUAGAAACAGGCACACAAAAUGGUCUGGUGGGAUUUCAGUUUUGCUUUUUCUCUUUCAACAGUCAUUUGAAGAGUUAAGUGGUUCCCAGAAGUCAUCCCAUCUUUUCUAAUAGUUAAGUCAAUCUGCAUUUUAUUGACCUUGGUUUUCUCUAAGCCAGUAAGGAAAUCAUUCAUUUCACCCCAGAAAUUAUAUUAGAAACAUGAUGAGCAGCUCGUUCUCUAGGCCUUGUCCAGGAAUACAGGUAAAGGGUUCUGCGUACAGAAAAUGGGUCCCGCUACAUUUUAAUUUUCAACAGUCACACAAUUUCUGCAUCAAAAUGACAUAAAAGAAUACUAGCACAAAAACCCUAAAAUGGGCACCUCAGACUGCAGUCCAAUUUACAGAUCUCUGGCUUACGUUAUCCUAAGGUGUUACCACAAAUAUAACCAAAAUGUGAGAUAUAAGCAUAAUUCUUUCAACAGCUUUCGUUGCCUUUUAAAAUGUGAAAAAGUCUCCUUGCUGCCUUUGAGUCACAGGAUAAAACUACCUGGGCCUUCUGGAUAACAGGAAAGGAUUAUUGCAUUUCUUAAGGUGUGGGCACUAUUGUCAGGUUAUGGCCAUCGUGUUAAAAGUCUAAAAACUUUCAAGUAAGAUUGACUUACAUGAAACAUGAAGACACUCAGCAUGAGAAAAUAUACUGUUGAUGCCAACAUGUGCUACAGUACAAUCCGGGCUGCAUCGUCAGCCAUUUCCAAAAGUUGUGCUGUAAAAGAAAGUAUAUUUUACACCUCUGGUUCUUACAAAAUUGUUUUAAUCUGGUAUACAUAAAACACCUCAUCAGUAUCUGUAACGUUUUAUGAGCAAAAUAAGAAGUUGAUUCAAGCAGUUAUUAUGAAGAACCUUAAGCAAAGCUGCUUGAACUGAGACACUGAAAUUUUUCCCUUAGAGACUGGACAAUAUUUUGUUGAUUGGGAGAUGGCCCCCUCCAAAGAUAGUCAUUCAGUUUGUCAGAAUCAUUAUAUGGUGUCAGAUAUGGUGAAAGGCCAAGUUUGCUGUUAACCGGCUUUUUUGGAGUGCGCGGACUAUUCAAAGAAUGCAAUGUGUUGCCGCUGCAGACAUUAUCAGAAAAGUCAGCAUCCACAAACUUUGAGUCAGAUUUCCUUCUACGAUUGUGAGAUAGCUCCAACUCCGACUCAUCUUCUUCUGACUUGAUUUCCACAUAGUCAUCUUCAUCUCCAUCAGUCUCUUUGAAAUUGGAAAAAUAAUUCUGUGUUGCAAUUUGGGCAUUUAAGGGUAAAUUUCUAUUGACCACCACAACUUUCUGUGAGUCUUGGAGUGUGAGAUCUGAGAGUUUUUCAGUGCCCUGUUGAUGCGAGUCAGCAAUAUCUGGCAGCAAGUCCUGGUGACUCUCACACCUUGAACUUCUGUGUAAAGACAGCAGCUGCUGCUUUCCCACAUCACUAGGGUAGUUGAUGGAAUCCAUUGAUUUGUUGAUCAAGACGGAGGAAGAUGACUGGGACCUGUGAUAAGGCUGAGAUUUAGCGCUGAUCCCUUUCCGACCCAAGGAGUUGUAAAGAUGGUCCUGACACCAGUUCUCUUUGUUGGGCUGACUUACUACCACGCUGCAUCUCUGCACAGAGCCUGGCAGAGGGUCAGAGGUUUGAAGAGAAGGCACAGAGCAAGCUGCGGACAAUUGCCUGGGAGUACUUUUUGUAUUGAUCUCAAACGUGGGAUAUCUUGACCUCAAGUCUUGCUCUGGUGGGAGACAGAAAUCUGCUAACUCUCCAUUACUAUAGGUUGAAUGCAGAAGCCAGUCUCCACUACCAUGGUGGACCUGGGAAGGUGACACAGACCUCAGGAGGGAGGAUUCUUGAGGGCUGGCCCAGCCAUCCUUCUGAAUUUUCAAGGGAGACUCUCUGAAUACAAUCUGGUCAUACAACUGGGAAUACUCAGCAAUCCUGGCACCUGGAAGGCAAAUAUUGAAACAGUAAAUACACACAGGAUAAUUCCUAUACGUGAAGAUUAAAAAUAAGAGAAUAACAUUCUAACCAACGUAUUUUAAAAUUUUGACAGUAGACAAGACUAACUGAUGUCUAAGGAUGAGUAAUCUUUGAACUCUGAGCAACACACACACACAAAUCCAUGGUUUAAUAUAAAUAAAAAUGC
rnacentral:lncRNA from 1 species